ACGCUCGACACCUACGGGGGGCAGCAGUGGGGAAUAUUGCACAAUGGAGGAAACUCUGAUGCAGCGAUGCCGCGUGAGGGAAGAAGGUUUUCGGAUUGUAAACCUCUGUCUUUGGGGACGAUAAUGACGGUACCCAAGGAGGAAGCUCCGGCUAACUACGUGCAAGCGGCCGCGGUAAUCUGAGCGGGCUGGCAAGGC
rnacentral:rRNA from 1 species